rnacentral:rRNA from 1 species
UCAAGUAAUUAAGUGCAUGUGGUGGAUGCCUUGGCAGUCAGAGGCGAUGAAAGACGUGAUAGCCUGCGAAAAGCUCCGGGGAGGCGGCAAAUAUCCUUUGAUCCGGAGAUGUCUGAAUGGGGGAACCCACCUACUUUAAGGUAGGUAUUGCAACAUGAAUACAUAGUGUUGCAAGGCGAACGAGGGGAAGUGAAACAUCUCAGUACCCUUAGGAAAAGAAAUCAAUUGAGAUUCCCUCAGUAGCGGCGAGCGAACGGGGAUCAGCCCAUUAAGUUAUGUGUGUUUUAGUGGAACGCUCUGGGAAGUGCGAACGUAGAGGGUGAUAUUCCCGUACACGAAAGGGCACACAUAAUGAUGACGAGUAGGGCGAGGCACGUGAAACCUUGUCUGAAUAUGGGGGGACCAUCCUCCAAGGCUAAAUACUCCUGACUGACCGAUAGUGAACCAGUACCGUGAGGGAAAGGCGAAAAGAACCCCUGUGAGGGGAGUGAAAUAGAUCCUGAAACCGCAUGCAUACAAGCAGUGGGAGCACCUUCGUGGUGUGACUGCGUACCUUUUGUAUAAUGGGUCAGCGACUUAUAUUCAGUAGCGAGGUUAACCGUAUAGGGGAGCCGUAGAGAAAUCGAGUCUUAAUAGGGCGUUUAGUUGCUGGGUAUAGACCCGAAACCAGGCGAUCUAUCCAUGAGCAGGUUGAAGGUUGGGUAACACUAACUGGAGGACCGAACCCACUGUCGUUGAAAAGCCAGGGGAUGACUUGUGGAUAGGGGUGAAAGGCUAAUCAAGCCUGGUGAUAGCUGGUUCUCCCCGAAAGCUAUUUAGGUAGCGCCUCGGACGAAUACCAUAGGGGGUAGAGCACUGUUUCGGCUAGGGGGUCAUCCCGACUUACCAAACCGAUGCAAACUCCGAAUACCUAUGAGUACUAUCCGGGAGACAGACUGCGGGUGCUAACGUCCGUAGUCAAGAGGAAAACAAUCCAGACCGCCAGCUAAGGCCCCAAAAUCAUAGUUAAGUGGGAAACGAUGUGGGAAGGCAUAGACAGCUAGGAGGUUGGCUUAGAAGCAGCCACCCUUUAAAGAAAGCGUAAUAGCUCACUAGUCGAGUCGGCCUGCGCGGAAGAUGUAACGGGGCUAAAACUAUGUGCCGAAGCUGCGGAUGUAUACUUUGUAUACGUGGUAGGGGAGCGUUCUGUAAGCCGAUGAAGGUGUGUUGAGAAGCAUGCUGGAGGUAUCAGAAGUGCGAAUGCUGACGUGAGUAACGACAAAACGGGUGAAAAACCCGUUCGCCGAAAGACCAAGGGUUCCAGUCCAACGUUAAUCGGGGCUGGGUGAGUCGACCCCUAAGGCGAGGCCGAAAGGCGUAGUCGAUGGGAAAAUGGUUAAUAUUCCAUUACUUCUGUGUAAUGCGAUGAGAGGACGGAGAAGGCUAAAUCAGCCUGGCGUUGGUUGUCCAGGUGAAAGGAUGUAGGCAUGUAUCUUAGGCAAAUCCGGGGUACUCUAUGCUGAGAUCUGAUAGCAAGCUGUACUUGUACAGCGAAGUGGUUGAUGCCAUGCUUCCAGGAAAAGUCUCUAAGCUUCAGUUACACAGGAAUCGUACCCGAAACCGACACAGGUGGUCAGGUCGAGUAGACCAAGGCGCUUGAGAGAACUCUGCUGAAGGAACUAGGCAAAAUGGUACCGUAACUUCGGGAGAAGGUACGCUGUUGUUGGUGAUGGAACUCGCUUCCUGAGCUGACGACAGCCGCAGAAACCAGGCCGCUGCAACUGUUUAUUAAAAACAUAGCACUCUGCAAACACGAAAGUGGACGUAUAGGGUGUGAUGCCUGCCCGGUGCUGGAAGGUUAAUUGAUGGGGUUAGCGUAAGCGAAGCUCUUGAUCGAAGCCCCAGUAAACGGCGGCCGUAACUAUAACGGUCCUAAGGUAGCGAAAUUCCUUGUCGGGUAAGUUCCGACCUGCACGAAUGGCAUAAUGAUGGCGGCGCUGUCUCCAGCAGAGGCUCAGUGAAAUCGAAAUCGCUGUGAAGAUGCAGUGUACCCGCGGCUAGACGGAAAGACCCCGUGAACCUUUACUGCAGCUUGACACUGAACUUUGACCUUACUUGUGUAGGAUAGGUGGGAGGCUUUGAAGCUGGAACGCUAGUUCCAGUGGAGCCGUCCUUGAAAUACCACCCUGGUAAUGUUGAGGUUCUAACUCUGUCCCGUGAUCCGGGACGAGGACCGUGUCUGGUGGGUAGUUUGACUGGGGCGGUCUCCUCCUAAAGAGUAACGGAGGAGUACGAAGGUGCGCUCAGCGUGGUCGGAAAUCACGCGUAGAGUAUAAAGGCAAAAGCGCGCUUAACUGCGAGACCCACAAGUCGAGCAGGUACGAAAGUAGGUCUUAGUGAUCCGGUGGUUCUGCAUGGAAGGGCCAUCGCUCAACGGAUAAAAGGUACUCUGGGGAUAACAGGGCUGAUACCGCCCAAGAGUUCAUAUCGACGGCGGUGUUUGGCACCUCGAUGUCGGCUCAUCUCAUCCUGGGGCUGAAGCAGGUCCCAAGGGUAUGGCUGUUCGCCAUUUAAAGAGGUACGCGAGCUGGGUUUAGAACGUCGUGAGACAGUUCGGUCCCUAUCUACCGUGGGCGCUGGAAAUUUGAGAGGAUCUGCUCCUAGUACGAGAGGACCAGAGUGGACGAACCUCUGGUGUACCGGUUGUGACGCCAGUCGCAUCGCCGGGUAGCUAUGUUCGGAAGGGAUAACCGCUGAAAGCAUCUAAGCGGGAAGCCUACCUCAAGAUAAGAUUUCCCUAGGACUUUAUGUCCUCUAAAGAGCCGUUCGAGACUAGGACGUUGAUAGGUUGGAUGUGGAAGCAUAGUGAUAUGUGAAGCUGACCAAUACUAAUUGCUCGUGAGGCUUGACUAU